AUAGCGCUCGGGAAACACCGUGGAGGGGAACUCAUUCCAUAGCCGGAUGGUACGUUAUGAUAAAUUUCCCAGAUUUACGUACGUUUUGAAGGUUCAUAACGACGGAGAGCCUGAAAAAUAUUUUUUCGGUUAUGAAAGAGUGGAACACAAUAGCGGAUUCAUUCCAGUAUUUAAUUUAAAGACAAUGAUAAAGCGUUCAUCUCAAGAAAUUGUACGACGGCCGCAAAGUCUACAAAGGAGAUGAAAUAUUAAAAUUUCAAGUGCUCCAGAUUUCUUCGUUGACAAUCCUCUUUGCAAAUAGAAAAAUGAGCUGUGCCUAAAAGAUAAAACGACAUAACGGUUCUAAGUCUGCGCACAGAAACAAUUGUAGUACCUUUUAGUAAUUUUUUUUAAUGCUUAGAUAGGUGGACGAGCUCACGGCCCAUCUGGUGUAGUGGUAACCGGAGCCCAUAGACAUAUACAACGUAAAUGCCGCCAACCACCUUGAGACAUGAGUUCUAAAGUUUCACUUUUAACACGGCUGCACCGCCCUUCAAACCGAAACGCAUUACUGCUUCACGGCAGAAAAGGGCAGGGCGGCGGUACCUACUCAUGCGGGCUCCCAAGACGUCCUACAUAUUUCAAUGGAAAAAUUGGCACCUGCCGGCGGGAUUCGAACACCGAACAUCGCUACAUACGAAUGCACAGGACGUCUUAUCCUUUAGGCCACGACGACUUCUAAACCUACUAACUAUAUAGGUCUUUGUCUAGAUGUUCUUCAAUAUACCUAGAUCUCCUAUAAACUAAAUUGAACUAUGUAUGUACGUACCAAUGGUGCAUGAUAUAUACUGCGGGUAACAGUCCUGGAGUCUGGGGGCGACUUACCAAUUCGUUGAUUACAAAAAUACUCCACAGUGCAUUGUGUAUUGGAACAGCAAGAACGAGAGGUAAUUGAAAAUUGAAAUAAAUAUUCCUUUCGAUAAGAAUAUCCUUUGUCGUAUUUAACGUCAAUGUAAACACUACUAUCGUCCCAUACGUCCCAUCGAGCAACAGUCCUAUGAAAAGCGUCGGUAAUAAAAGUGAAUAUUAGUACAAAAAUACGCGCUUUCCUGAGUUGAUAGUCUCAAAUCUAUAAUAAUUGAAUAAGCACGGGUGUUGUAAAUAAGAAUACAAAGAAACCUACCAUAUUCUAGAGAAAUCUUCCUGAAUAAACACAUACAAGAACAAUGACAAUAAUGAUAUUAAAUGAUAAUAAUAAUUUGUGACUAUAAUUUAUGAAUGUUAUAUUACAAAUUGACAUGUUAGUAAUCUUCAAUUAAUUCUAUAUUUAUUUUAUAUUUUCCCACUUUUUAUUCAAGUAAGAACAUGUUGGAAUGAUAAAAUUUUGUAAAUCCAUUAUUUAUGUACCAUUUAGAAAAUAAAUCAUUUUGAAUUUGAAUUGAA